AUUGAACGCUGGCGGCAUGCUUUACACAUGCAAGUCGAACGGUAACAGGCCUUCGGGUGCUGACGAGUGGCGAACGGGUGAGUAAUGCAUCGGAACGUGCCCAAUCGUGGGGGAUAACGUAGCGAAAGUUACGCUAAUACCGCAUAAGCCCUGAGGGGGAAAGUGGGGGACCGCAAGGCCUCACGCGAAUGGAGCGGCCGAUGUCAGAUUAGCUAGUUGGUGGGGUAAAGGCUCACCAAGGCGACGAUCUGUAGCGGGUCUGAGAGGAUGAUCCGCCACACUGGGACUGAGACACGGCCCAGACUCCUACGGGAGGCAGCAGUGGGGAAUUUUGGACAAUGGGCGCAAGCCUGAUCCAGCCAUGCCGCGUGCGGGACGAA
rnacentral:rRNA from 1 species